rnacentral:lncRNA from 1 species
GGGGUGCAAGAGCAUAACAGAAUUUCAAACUAGAUAACAGAGACAGUUGAAUGUGUGGCGCAUGUUAAGCCCCUGGCAAGUGUACCAAAUCGUUCUCAAGUAAUAUAAACGAGUAAGUCCGAGUAUCGUUUUCCCAAAGGACUCUUAGGCCUUAAUUUUCAUGUAAACAAAUAGAGUAAGACUUGAGAAAAGAAUAAAUUUGGUGGUUAUAUGCAAAGAACAAAAAUAAACAUGCAAUGCAGUUGAUUCAAUUGGUUUUGAGAAACUAUGGAUGAAUGGUGUUGUUAGGGUUUACAAUUUCAUCUUAUCCACUCUAAUAUAUCUACUCUUCUUAUUUACUUCACUUAUUUAUCUAAUUGCCAUGCACACUUUCUAGUUUACCCUUAACCCAAUCCCUUGGUGAAAAAAGCCUAUUACUAAUUACCGGCUUGUUAUCCCCUAGCCUCCCCUAGUAACCAAUAAUGCAAUGUGUUCGGAAGCAAAUACAAUUGACCAUCCUACCCCU